CCUGGCCCUAGAGGCUUGGCAAGUAUGUCACGUUGUGCUUCAAUAAAUGAGAGGUGCUUCAGAGAGGAGAGAGGCUAUGUCUAUACUUCCUGUUCUUUCCUGUGAACAUCUGAAUGAUGAGUACCCUAACAUU